rnacentral:rRNA from 1 species
UGCGCAGGCGGACUUUUAAGUCAGUGGUGAAAUCCCGAGGCUCAACCUCGGAACUGCCAUUGAUACUGGAAGUCUUGAAUUUGGUUGAAGUGGGCGGAAUGUAGCAUGUAGCGGUGAAAUGCUUAGAUAUGCUACAGAACACCGAUCGCGAAGGCAGCUCACUAAGCCAAUAUUGACGCUCAGGCACGAAAGCGUGGGGAGCAAACAGGAUUAGAUACCCUGGUAGUCC